ACGGAGUCAUUUUUUUCACGGAGGCAGCUAGGAAAAGGGAUAGGACCACAGCAGAGAAACUAGAAAAUAAACUCUUACACAAAUCUUGUAACAAUGUCACAGUUUGCAUUUUAGACUGUUGUACAAUGUGACAAGUGAAUCAAUAAACUCGCCUGUAUGAUCAGUUUGCAUUUUUGACUGUUGUACAGUCGUCUAAACUCUUAAUAUCCAGGGUCUUCUGGUAGUCCACCAAACAUCCAACUCCAUGAUUUCAAAGACUUGUCCAAUGUUUGACAUAAAACCUGACAAGUACUUGUAAAUGUAUAGAUUGCAAUAUAGUAUUUUAGAGCUUUACGUACUACAAGAUGCACAACUUUCACAUGUCUAAUAUUUAUGCUUGAACAUACUUAAUUUAUCUUUGGAAAAUAAAUAUUAGUAUAAAAUAUUCAAAAUUUUUUAAAGGAACCGAACAAAUUGCAAAAGUUGCAAUGUUAAAGUAUCAUCAUUUUUUCAAAAAUGACAUACAAGAUUUCUCAAAAUAGUGUUGGAUGAUACGAUUUUAUUAGAAACUUAGAGGUCACGUGAAGGUUAAUGAAGGUCACAUAAAAACAUGAAAUACUAACGUAAUCGCAAUAAUUAAAAAUUCAAAAAUAUUUAAUAUUAGAAAUAGACGAGAAGGAUAAUUUGAACUUGAGAUUAGAUUAAAAUUAUGGUAAAAACACUCAACUAUAAUAGGACCACAAAUUAAAGUUUUACUAGGAUAUCUUAAAUAACAAUUGGAUAACAAAUUAACUAAUAAUUAGUUUAGCCAUAUGUCAUAACCAGAAAAAGCCACAUAUAACUUAUUUCUUAAUUAAUUAAUUAUAAAUAAGUAAAUCAAAAUAUUAGAAGUUUUACUAUAUAAUACUUAAAAAUAAUAUUAAUAAAUUUAAAUAAUUUUAUAUAUAUAUUAAAAAAAUUACAUGUUGAUUUAUAUUAUAUUAAAGGAUAUAAAUGGAUAAUGAUAUUAAAUAAAGAGAAAAGUUAAUGAAGGUCACAUGAAAACAUGAAAUACUAUAUAUUAGGUAACAUAAUAGCAAUAAUUAAAAAUCUACUAUGUAUUACUAAAAGGAGAGGAAAAAGCCUGCACAUUAAGUCAAGCGACAACCUCACAAUAAGCCACUUGACAAUUUAGGAUAAAGUUAGUUAGGUUAGAUAAUAAUUAGUUUUCUUUCUGAAUUUAUAUUUUCAAAAAUUUAAAUUAUGCAUUAUGUGCUGCUAAUAAUUAGUUACUCUCUUUGAGUUAACAAAUUUGGAUUUUUAAAAUUAUUCUAAAAUAAAAAAUGAACAUAAGAAAAACAAAACUGUCAAUUCAAAUUGGGGAGUAGUUUCUUUCUAAUAUGGUAGUCUAUACCUAUAAAAUACUACACAUAUUUUCUUAUAUAGAAAAUAAUUUGAUUUCGAAUUUAAAAAUAAAAAUAUUAUUUUGAAUUUAUAGAUGGAAAUAAAACAAAAGUCCAUUUCCUUAUGGAAAAUAAUGCAAAAAUAUCAAUUAUUAAGAAUAUCAGUAAAUUUAUGACAAAAUAGUAAGAUUACUUAUCUGUUUAUAUUUUUUAAAAAUUCAAAAUUAUAAUUUGAUUUAAAUAUGAUAGUAUUUUGAUUAUAUCUAAAAUUCAAAAUUAAAAAAAUCUAUAAUAUUAGUAAAAUGAGAUUUAAAAGAUAAGAAUAUUUCUAGGGUAAGACAAUAUGUAUCUAUGUUAUAUUAAAAGAGAAUUAUUGUCAAAAUAUUAAGCCAAUUGACAAGUUAAUAAAAGUCAUAUUAGUAAAUGUAUAGUACUAAGUAGGAGCGCACAUUUAGUUAGGGUUUACUAACGUGCACCAUCCAGAUGACUCAAUGAAAAUGACGACGAGCCCUACCUCACCUAAAACGCAAGCAGCAACGACUAGGUAGAUAACCCCUGAAUCUGGUAUUCCAUAGAGUCUAGCACCUCUACAGCUGACUCAAUAGAUGACAGGAAUGGGAGUGCACCAACGAUUUUGAAAGGGAAACCUUCGACAUCAGAAUUAGAAAGUCUAACGGAGGAAAUUGGAACGGAGAGUGCUCCAAUUCUUCUGCAAAAGGCCCCUAUGAUGCAAGCACAAGAAGUAUCACCGGAAUUGGAAGCUAAUGUCUCAGCUAAAGGGACUUCUAAUAAAUCUACCAUGAUUGACAUCGUCAAAGGAAACAGAACUCAGCAAACGAGUAUGAAAAUUGAUUACUUCCCCCUGUCUUAAAAGAUGUAGUCAAAGUUGCUAAGUUAAACUUAGUAGAGAUAGAGGAACAAAGCAAAAAAUGGUAAUCGGCUUUGAUUGGCUAUGUUAUAGGAGGUGACCCUUCAUUUAAGGAGAUGUUGAAAUAUGUCUAUGGAGUUUGGAACUUUGUCUGUACUCCACAACUGUUUUUGCAUAAUGAUGGUUAUUUCAUCUUCCGAUUUGAGAAUGAGGAAGACAAGAGCGCAAUCCUGAUGUCUGGACCCUAUAUGUUCAACUACAGACCCCUGAUAUUGAAGCAGUGGGACUAGGAUUUUCUAAUGGAGAAUGAACCAGCACAACUCAUCCCUCUGUGGGUCACAUUUCCUAAUUUGCCAAUUCAAUAUUGGGCGACAGAAAAUCUAGUAAGAUUGGCCAACUGUGUGGGAAAACCUAUAUGUGCGGAUAAGCUAACUUCAUAAGGGGCUAGGGUGUCCUAUGCUAGGAUACUCAUUCAAAUUGAUAUCUCCCAACCCCUACCUGAUGAGAUAUCAAUUUAAAUUCCUAAAAAGGGGGAAAGAAUGCAAGCUGUGGAGUAUGAAUGGCGACCUCUAUAUUAUCAAGACUGCCUGCGAAUUGGCCAAAGACAGGGGCUUGCAAGACAGUACCUGCAGAUCAUGCCCCUAUUGAGAAGCAGAAGCAUACCAGGAAGAAAGGGCAGAAGAAGCAGGAAUGGAUACCAAAGCAACCAGUACAACCAAAGGAGACUGAACCAACAGCUGUGAUCCCAAAAGUGGUCAACCAAGUCGAUCAACCAUCCUCUUCUACAAUUGAGGAUGAACAGGGUCAAAUCCACUCUAAAGACAGAGGGAAAGCAAAGAUGGAUCAACUUCGAAAGCCUUCACAAACUGAGGUUAUGGAAAGGAUAUUGACUCAAAACAGGUUUGGUGCUCUUAGAAUUCAGCCAGAAGUAACCACUAAUACAGUGGGAGGGACAUCCACUCCAAUAGUACAGAACCCCCAUGAUUUUCGGAUCAUGGAACAUUAGGGGGCUGAACAAGCCCUUCAAGCAGAAGGAAUUUAAAUCCUUCCUUCUUACAAAUAAAGUGGUUCUAAUGGGAUGUCUAGAGACUAAAGUUAGAGUUAAAGGGGUUGAAAAGGUAAAGAGGAAUCUAGGAAAAGAGUGAGAAAUUGCAACUGAUUACAUCUCAGCUCCAAAUGGAAGGAUCUGGUUAUACUGGAAGCCAUCACCUGUAGAGAUUAAAAUCCUAAUAACUGGAGCCCAAAUUGUCCAUUGUCAAGUUAAGGACAAAGGGUCACAGUUUAGCUGCCAUACCACCUUUGUAUAUGGUUUCAACACAGUGUCAGGUAGUGAAAAAAUCUGGUAACAGGCGAGGUUGAUCAAUACUACCAUGAUUGAACCUUGGAUAGUAUUAGGAGUCUUUAACAUAAUUUUGACAACUAAUAAUAGAAUUAAUGGGGGCACCUGUGCAACAGGCAGAUGUGCAAGACUUUCAGGAUUGUGUUGAAGAUAUAGGGCUUGGUCAAAUCUGUAGAAGAGGGUACCAAUAUUCCUGGUCUAACAAGCGUGAUCCUAAAGAUAGAAUUUACAGCCUUAUAGAUUGGGCCUUUGGUAAUAAAUACUGGUUCAAUAAAUACAACACCCUUGUGGUAUAUUAUCACCAACUAGGAUGCUCCCCAAUUCUAAUAUCUACUGAAGUGGCUAAACAUACACUGCCUCGACCUUUCAGACUCUUCAAUGUCCUGCUAAAAUAUGAAGCACCUGCAGCAACCACACAGUCUAUUUAGAGACAAAAUGUAUCUGGUCACACUGUGUAUGCAAUAUGCAAGAAGUUGAAACUCCUUAAAAUUGCUGUGACACAUAUGAAUAGAGAAGUGUCUAAGUUGGACCACAGAAUAGAGAAGUUACAUGGCAAGCUUCAAUCUGUACAAGAGAAGCUAGAAACUGACCUAUAUAAUCCUCUUCUCAUCAAGGAAGAGAAAGAAGUCUUAUUAACCCUGGAAAAAUGGUCAGAUAUUCGUGAAAGGGUACCUAGAAAAAAAAUCUAGAGCUACAUGGUUAAUGCAAGGAGACUCCAAUACAAAGUUCUUCUAUGCACAACUUAAAGCAAGAUAAACCAGGAACAACAUUGCCACUAUUUGUGAUAGCCAACGUGUGACACUAACAGAUCCUGACAGAGUGCAAAAAGAGUGUCAAUUUUUCCCAAGAUCUUCUAGGUACUAGUGCUGCAGAAUUACCAUGUAUUGACAUCAACAUUGUAAGGGAUGGACCUUGUCUCACUAGAGCACAACAGCUGGAACUUAUACAGUCUGUCACUAGUGAGGAUAUCACUUAGGUCCUCAAGGAUUUACCUAAUGAUAAAGCCCCACGAAUUGAUAGUUUUAUGAUGGUAGGCUAUAAUCUCAUGUUUUAGUCAAUUAUUACAUUCCAACUUAUUGUACUUCAAUUAAGUUUGGGUUUUAAUCGCUAGUGUUUUAUACUAAUUGUGUGUUUUAUGCCUUGUAAUAGUGAUUCUGAGCUAUGUAGAUGUUAUGGA
rnacentral:lncRNA from 1 species